UUAUCGUUCUUUCUCGCGUUAAUUCAUGUCUGGUUAGCCAGGGAGAGAUAAAAGUUUUCGAACUAAAUCAAUUGUUGUGAACGGGAUUCCCAUUGAUAACAAAAAACAUGGCGGCUAUUUGUUAGUAGGUCCCGCUUCAAGAUUUCAAAAUCAUCAAACGUUCCAGAAAUGCAACAAUUGUAAAAACUUUCAACGCUGUUUUGUUCAUAUGGAUGGGAACAAACACAUGUGUAUGCAUUUUUGAAUAUAAAAGUUUUGUGACGGUACUUUGCAAGCAAUUUUCUCACACUUUACUGUGGCUAUUGGUGCUGAUCUUGAACUAAAGGUAAAUGGAACAGCAUGGAUGUGGAUUUUUAGACACAAGGAAGCUGAAUUUAACUUUUAAUGAAGAAUUUAAAUGAUGAUUGUCCAUGAAAAGAAAUAUUAAUUAUAUACAUUGUAAUGCUGUAUUGAUGCAUCUUCUGUUUUAAGUAAUUAAAAAACCAUCCAUUUAUGAAAUUCUUUUCAUUUUUUUUUUCAAUUUUAAAACUGUAGUUCUGUUUUGUUAUUUGAAAACAAUGAU